CAGCUAACAGAGGUGGAACCUUG
rnacentral:miRNA from 1 species